UACGUAGGGGGCCAGCGUUGCUCGGAAUAACUGGGCGUAAAGGGUCCGUAGGCGGUGUGGCAAGUCGGGAGUGAAAUCUCUGGGCUUAACCCAGGGGCUGCUUCCGAAACUGCCGUGCUAGAGUGCGAGAGAGGUGAGUGGAAUUGCAGGUGUAGCGGUGAAAUGCGUAGAUAUCUGCAGGAACACCCGUGGCGAAGGCGGCUCACUGGAUCGCAACUGACGCUGAGAGACGAAAGCUAGGGGAGCAAACAGG
rnacentral:rRNA from 1 species